UACGUAGGGGGCAAGCGUUGUCCGGAAUUAUUGGGCGUAAAGAGCAUGUAGGCGGUCCGGUAAGUCAGCUGUGAAAGUCAAGGGCUCAACCCUUGAAAGCCGGUUGAUACUGUCGGGCUAGAGUCCGGAAGAGGCGAGUGGAAUUCCCGGUGUAGCGGUGAAAUGCGCAGAUAUCAGGAGGAACACCGGUGGCGAAGGCGGGUCUCUGGGCCGAUACUGACGCUGAGGAGCGAAAGCGUGGGGAGCGAACAGG
rnacentral:rRNA from 1 species